GAUGAACGCUGGCGGCGUGCCUAAUACAUGCAAGUCGAGCGAACAGAUACGGAGCUUGCUCCUUUGACGUUAGCGGCGGACGGGUGAGUAACACGUGGGUAACCUACCUAUAAGACUGGGAUAACUUCGGGAAACCGGAGCUAAUACCGGAUAACAUUUGGAACCGCAUGGUUCUAAAGUGAAAGAUGGUUUUGCUGUCACUUAUAGAUGGACCCGCGCCGUAUUAGCUAGUUGGUAAGGUAACGGCUUACCAAGGCAACGAUACGUAGCCGACCUGAGAGGGUGAUCGGCCACACUGGAACUGAGACACGGUCCAGACUCCUACGGGAGGCAGCAGUAGGGAAUCUUCCGCAAUGGGCGAAAGCCUGACGGAGCAACGCCGCGUGAGUGAUGAAGGGUUUCGGCUCGUAAAACUCUGUUAUUAGGGAAGAACAAAUGUGUAAGUAACUGUGCACGUCUUGACGGUACCUAAUCAGAAAGCCACGGCUAACUACGUG
rnacentral:rRNA from 1 species